GUUGUACUACUUUUGGGACAAAUUAUAUCAAAAUUAUAGAAAACUUCAUCGGCUCUAACUCAAAAUAUGGACAAUUUUAUGUUUAGGGCGUCUUGAAAUCUUUUGACAGCUUCCGAAGUGCUAAUUUUCAACCUUUUUCAGCUGGACCAAAUCACUACUUUCCUUUAAAAUUCUGGACCCAAAUGUUUUUACAGUGUAAUUUCCCCCCCCCCCUACUUGCAAUUUGAGGCAUUAAACAUGGAGAAAUAAAUUUGGAAGGGGUAUAAAAAUUAAUGGCAAGUAACCCACUGUCAACACUAGGGACUAUAUUUGUGAACAACGAAAAUCAAGGG
rnacentral:lncRNA from 1 species